rnacentral:rRNA from 1 species
GACAGAGGGUGCAAACGUUGUUCGGGAUUACUGGGCGUAAAGCGCGUGUAGGCGGCUCGAUAGGUCAGGUGUGAAAUCCCUCGGCUCAACCAAGGAAGUGCACUUGAAACCAUCAAGCUUGAGUGUCGGAGAGGAAGGCGGAAUUGUCGGUGUAGAGGUGAAAUUCGUAGAUAUCGACAGGAACACCUGUGGCGAAAGCGGCCUUCUGGACGAACACUGACGCUGAGACGCGAAAGCGUGGGGAGCAAACAGG